GCCCAUAUAGCUCAGUGGACAGAGCGCACGGCUACGAACCGUGAGGUCGCUGGUUCGACUCCUGCUAUGGGCA
rnacentral:tRNA from 1 species